GAUGGUUGACAGAUUCUUUUAUUAACAGUCAAAAACUUCACACAAUUGGAAAAUAAAUGUUUCUUCAAUGAAUAAUCAAACAAAAAUUAUCCAGGACCUUAUAGGGUUUUCAGUAUGUACCAGGCUUGAUGCACAUCUUAGAAGACAGGACAUUAUCUUGCUGGGAUCAUUAGGGUAUGACUGAAAGUGAGAAACAGUAAUUUGUAAAACAUUUACCUAAUAAUAGCUUUCCCAAACAGUACUUCCCCUGGAAUUAAAACAGGAAAUACAAUUUAUGUUUAUACGUGGUUUUAGAUAUGACUCAAUAUACAUAGAUUUUAACUUUAUGGUUUGGUAUUACUUUUUUAAAGGCGCUCAAUAGAAAUUCAAAUCUCACUUUAAGACCAUGAAUUUCAAGUUGCAAUGAAGUGUACAAUAAAGUUGUGAUUUCUCAACAUCAAAGUUUAAUUAUUACAAAAUAGUUCAAGCAACAGAUAGAAUUUCAAAAACAGUAUUUGCUUUGCUUCCUUGUUUUGCUCCAACACUAAUCAUGCUGAGGUUUUUGAAGCACAGCUAUGACUAGGGCAGGCACUGCUGAUUCAGUCACAAAAACCCUUCUUGGAUGAACAAUACUUGUUCUUUUCAGAAGAAAAGCAAUUUUACCUUUUCUAUUUCUAUUAUGAAAAACAGAGCUAAACAAUUUUUGUAUUUUUAGUAGAGACAGGGUUUCACCACGUUGGCCACGCUGGUCUUGAACUCCUUCAAGUGUUCUGCCUGCCUUGGCCUCCCAAAGUGCUGGGAUUACAGAUACGGAUCACUUGAGGUCAGGAGUUCGAGACCACCCUGGCCAACAUGGUGAAACCCUGUCUCUGCUAAAAAUACAAAAAGUAGCCAGGCAUGGUAGCAUGCACCUGUAAUCCCAGCUAUUCAGGAGGCUGAGGUGGGACAAUCACUUGAACCCGGGAAGUGGAGGUUGCAGUGAGCUCCGGUCGCGCCACUGCACUCCAGCCUGGGCAACAGAGCAAGACUCUGUCUCCAAAAAAAAAGAAAAAAAAAAAACGCCUAUAUAAAGAAAAUAUUCCAAUAGGAGAUAAACCUAUGUACACAGAGUUGCUCACCCCAGCAUUAUCUGUAGUAACAAUUAGAAACAAAUGAAAUAUUCAAAAACAGUAAAUUAGGCAGAUGAUGAAACAACAUGGCAAAUGUAUGAUGCUAAGCCAAAUAUACAAAAAGAUCCCUGUGAGACGGAGCAGGGACCCCUCUUUGGGGUGUGCCAGGGGGAUUCCCACAAGCACAGAAAUAAAGGAGAAUCUUGAGUUUCCUUCACCGAAAACUCCAGGCACCCAGCUCGCCCCGAGAAGGAAACCAGCAAGCUGAUAAGCAAGAAGGUCAUAACAGUUUCAAACAAUAGCCAGGGAAGUUAGAGUCACCUAGAGACAUCCUUAACACGUGCCCCUGAGCUACUUUUCAGAAACCCAGACCCCCACCAAAUGGAUUCACACAGACGUCAGAUAAGGGGGAACACCAGGGACUAAACUCUGACCUCCAUUCUUUGCUCUCAGUUUCUUCCUGAGGGGCCUGGCCAGACCUUAAUGUUCCUUUCUGCGGACCCCAAGUUUUUAGACAAAGCUUUGCUUCCUUAACCAAUCACAAAUCAGGGAGUCUUUGAAUCCACCAUAACCUGUAAGCCCGCCCCCUGCCUACCCCACUUCACCUUUCAGGCCAAACCAAUAUAUAAGCUUCAUGUAGUGAUUUACAAUUUUGGUAUACAGCCAUACCACCCUGAAGGCACCCGAUCUCGACUGAUUUACAAUUUUGCCUUUAACUUCUGCUUUCCUGAAAUUUACCACUGCCUUUAAAUACUCUAGCUUGUAGGUCAUCAUGGAGAUUGGGUCUCAAGCAUGAGCUGCCCAAUUCUCCUUGCUUGGCGCCCUGCAAAUAAACAUCCUCC
rnacentral:lncRNA from 10 species